UAUCAGGCUUCAACCCAUUACAGAAAAUAUUAACUUGGAACAAAAUAAACAACAACCCUCAGCACUGGAGGAAGAAAGCUACCAACCACACCAGUCUGUGAUUGUCAUGUUUCCAUUGUGUGUAACUACAUCACCAAACAGCCCCUAAUUCAGUGACAAGCUUCAGUAUAUAAGAUGACUCACUCACACACUCUGACCAGUUCAUCAACUGGUAACAAACAAGCCUCAGAUCCAGGCUCAGAUUUGGUGCUUUCAGCGUCUGAAGAUGUGUUCGAGUCUCUCCACCAGCCGCCUGAUCCUUCUGCUCUCCCUCGGUGUGGUGAUGCUCAUCAUCGUAUCAGAAGGGGCUGGCCAUGUGGAGAGUUCCUGCUAUCAUGCUGCUGAGUACUCUAAAACUAGGAAAAACAGCCAUGUUGCACCUAACUGGACAAAAAACAUCAUCAGCUGCUUUAAACAAGACCAACAGGGCUGUGCACCUGGCUACCUGGUUAAAACAAGAGGAGGAAAGACAUUUUUUCUCAAACCAGACACGAAGUGGCUGAAAAAGAAAAUAAACGAGAAAACUCUGCAGUGUCCUCCAGUGAUUUCUAAAAGAAGCUGAUGUGGGAACAAACAAAGUUGAAGCAAAGCAGCCACAGAAGCAUUUUCCAGUUCAAACCUUGACAGAAACAUCUGCUGAGAAAUGUUUUAUUAUUUCUGUAAAUUAUUUGUAGAGCUUAAAAAUCUGAUUUUAUGGAAUUGUUUAGUUAAGAUGUUUGUAAAUAUGAACGUUUCAAAUGACCUUAUUCUGUCUUCAAGAUGAGAUUCAUGUUAAAUCAUAUUAAAAUAUUUAAAUCUGA
ensembl:lncRNA